rnacentral:rRNA from 1 species
GAUGAACGCUAGCGGCAGGCUUAAUACAUGCAAGUCGGAGGGGCAGCAUAAGUAGCAAUACUUGAUGGCGACCGGCAAACGGGUGCGGAACACGUACAGAACCUUCCUUCGAGCGGGGAAUAGCCCGGAGAAAUCCGGAUUAAUACCCCAUAGUAAAUUGGAAAAGGCAUCUUUUAAUUUAAAGAUUUAUCACUUGAAGAUGGCUGUGCG